AUUGAACGCUGGCGGCAGGCCUAACACAUGCAAGUCGAGCGGAUGAAGGGAGCUUGCUCCUGGAUUCAGCGGCGGACGGGUGAGUAAUGCCUAGGAAUCUGCCUGGUAGUGGGGGAUAACGUCCGGAAACGGGCGCUAAUACCGCAUACGUCCUGAGGGAGAAAGUGGGGGAUCUUCGGACCUCACGCUAUCAGAUGAGCCUAGGUCGGAUUAGCUAGUUGGUGGGGUAAAGGCCUACCAAGGCGACGAUCCGUAACUGGUCUGAGAGGAUGAUCAGUCACACUGGAACUGAGACACGGUCCAGACUCCUACGGGAGGCAGCAGUGGGGAAUAUUGGACAAUGGGCGAAAGCCUGAUCCAGCCAUGCCGCGUGUGUGAAGAAGGUCUUCGGAUUGUAAAGCACCUUAAGUUGGGAGGAAGGGCAGUAAGUUAAUACCUUGCUGUUUUGACGUUACCAACAGAAUAAGCGCCGGCUAACUUCGUG
rnacentral:rRNA from 1 species